CGCGGGGUGGAGGAAUGGUACCUCGGGAGGCUCAUAAUCUCCAGGUGUGGGUUCAAAUCCCCCCCCCGCAACAA
rnacentral:tRNA from 1 species